rnacentral:lncRNA from 1 species
AUGGUGAUAUAACAAGGAACCCAUGUUUUCACAUGGAAGCAACUGCACCUGCAACUAACAACGCUAACAACAGGAUUAAGCAAGCGGUAACAUAGCCAAUCAGUGGUUUGCUAGGUCGAACAGGUUGAUGGUAAUCAUGGCAUUGUUGAGAGGCUGAUAUUUAACAGGUGGUAGGCAACGAGACAUAAACGAUAGAAGCGAUAAAC